ensembl:lncRNA
GUCAGUGGGCGUAAGAGGUCUGCUCAGAGGAGGGGAAUGUGCUUCCAGACUGUUUGGAGACAGAACAUUGCGUCUUGAAACAACAGUUCACUCGGAUCUAUGAUGCAAGAGAGAUUCAGUUUAGAUCGUGGUUCGAUGUGGACCCUGGUCCUGCCUCUCAGGGACACUGUUCUAUUUGCGUGGCGCUGCUGAACAAAAGGCCUGGUCACCCAUGGUGUGGAGAUGAGUGUUGGGGACCUAGAGGAGCAAGCUGGUUGCAGAUCUGAGGGUGCGGGUGAAGGUUGGAAACACAAACCCCGAUGCAGGAGCAGCGGUAGACUUACAUGGAGCGUACCAGACGGUGAUGGAGGAGCAGAAGAUGGACUCGAUGAUGGAGUGCACCAUCAUCGUCAUUGGCAGGUUGACUUUCUUCAGCUGUCUCAGGAAGAACAACCUCUGCUCAGCCUUCUUGGUGAUGGAGCUGAAGUUCAGCCCAGAAAACGAAAGGAAUCCACAGCGUUGAUGGGGUGAUGGGGGAGUGAUGGGGGAGGGUGGGACUCUGUUCUUCCUGAAAUCCACAACCAUCUCCACUGUCUUCAGAGCGUUGAGCUCCAGGUUGUUCUGGCUGCACCACAACACCAGAUGGUCAGUCCAAUGAGGGUGGUGUCAUCCGCAAACUUCAGCAGCUUGACGGACUGCCGACUGGAGUUGCAGCUGUUGGUGUACAGGGAGAUGAGCAGAGGGGAAAGAACGCAGCCUUGGGGGGAACCGGUGCUGAUGGACCGAGAGGCAGAGACAUGUUUCCCAAGUUUCGCGUGCCGCUUUCUGUCAGACAGGAAGUCAGUGAUUCACUUGCAGUGAACGUGCAGCUGAGAGAGUUUGUCCUGCAGCAGAGACGGGAUGAUGGUGUUGAAAGCAGAGCUGAAGUCUACAAACAGGAUCGUGGCGUAGGUUAACACAUAUAACACAAUAACACAUGAGCUACCUUAUUUUUAAGUUUUGUACUAAAGAACAGAUUCAUUUUGUCAAUAUACAGACACACAGCCAUACACAAGUACAGAGUAAAAGACAAGACACCCUAAAUUGCCUGAUGCAACAUUUUUGUUGUUGUAUUUUCACUUAUGUCACUCGUUGUCACACACAUCUAACACUGCCUCCAACAAAACAAAUAAAAAUGUGCUGCUCUCAUCAACGUUGGCUUCCGUCACUCCUGACGAAUCCCAUCCAACCAACCUUCCUCAGGGUGAGUGUUAAGUGUGCAAGUGGGUGCUUCUUAUAUCUUAUAUCACAAAGUGGUAGUCCUGCGUGCCUUUAGCAAUGCCGUAGGCGUUGAAGAGGGUGAGAAAGGACGAACGGGUGUCUGUUAUGUAUCUCUGUCACAGCCUCAGGGUUCACGGUCUACUACAAUGGAGGCCGACAGCAUCAUUUGUCAACUACGACAUUUGUAUCUGUUGUUCGACACACAGACACUCCACAUAAUAGUGUUCAACAUUUCCACACACACUGGAGUCACAGCCAGCACCUUUCCUUGAGCAUUAAGGUCUUUCUGAAAUUUAAAACAAUCUUAAACUACAUAUCUUUACUUAGGUGCACAUGCAGACACACAUACUAUGAUUUUAUUGCCCAACUUCCGCAGUUAUCCCCAAAAAGAUAACUAAUCGGCCCCACUGAAAAAGACAUCUUUGAUUACCUUUUAAUGUUACCCAAAGUCAUGCAAUCUUUUUGGCAACAUUUGUGCUUGGCAAAAUAUGUUUCUUGAAAGAAGCGGUUGUGGUUUAACUGGCAUCCGACGGACAGACCAUCCAGGCACAAAGCCCUCCGAAACAGAUCUUUUGAAGCACUUUCCCCAUUUAUAUGUAGAACCUUCUUCCUUCCUCUUGGCCAGCGGCGGAUGUGGGCUGAACGCUCCAGACGACGUAAAAGAGAGACUUCUGUCUCUUCGGCCUCUGCAAUGGAUAUGACAGAAGUGUCUCUUUUACUUGGCGCCUGAAAGGCAGUUUCCAAAUCAGUGGGUGUUAAUGUCUCCUUGUAUUUACAUUUAUUUGUGUAUGCGUUGAUGUGUGUGUGCAUGUGUGUCUGUGUGUGUGAAUAAUUGAGCGUAGUUAUUUUGGUUCCUCUGAGACUGUCAUGAGGAGCCAGGAUGAAAGACCAAAGAGAGUAAACCGCAGGUGAGAAGUUAGUGUGUGCACGUGUUAGUGUGUGUGUGCAUUUAAGUAUAUUCAUAGAAGAAACCGUAUUUACAUGGUAAAAGUUGAUCUCAGCUCUUUGAAGUGGGAAAGUAUCAGUGUCUUAAGAAAACACACUGAGGAAAGGGCAGUUCGUUGUGUAUUUGAUGUGUGUGUGUGUGUGUGUGUGUGUGUGUGUGUGUGUGUGUGUGUGUGUGUGUGUGUGUGUGUGUGUGUGUGUGUGUGUGUGUGUGCGUGUGUGUCUGUGUGGCAAGAGAAAGAAAACCGGAGCAAGCGGGAGAUGAGGCCAUUAAUAACUUCUUUAUCACAGAGGCCCCCUUUGCCUUCCUCUCCCUCUCAUCCUCCCUUUAUCUUUCUUCUGCCUCUUUCAAUCUUUUCCACCAGACUUUCUUUCACUAUUUGUCUCAUAGCAAUAGAAUUAUGGGGCUUGGUGGCUCCCGCCCACAUAUAUUUGAUAAUAGGUAUAUUCAUUAACGUGGUACUAACUCCUCCUCCUAACAUGUCCUUGUGUAUCCGUGUGUGUUUUCCCUGUCCUCAGUCUUAUCUACCGAGACUAAAAAGACAAGUCUCCUCAGAAUGGAAACCAAUUACAUACAAAGAGAGCGAUUAGAAGUGGGGGAAAUUAAAAAUGAAUAAAACACAAGCUGAUAAAGAAAGUUGGAGUAACAAAGGGGAAAGAUAUGGAAGAUUAGGACCGAUUAACAUGACUACACUGACUGGAAACCUGGAUAAAAGAAAACACAUGAUUAGGUAAGAAAAGUUUCUGCCAAACUGCUUGAUGAAAUUUAAAGCGAUGCUGCAAUAAAGUGUAGGAUGUGGGAAUAGACACUUCAGGUUUGUGUCAUGUGCUUCAUUAUUCUUCAUUCUUGACUUCUGAUUUCGAAGGACUGUCGGGUUACCUAAUGUGUACUGGAACGGAUGAACUAACAACAGUUUUUUGCUAAACUUUAUGUAUGAUGAAAUUACUGUUACUUUAUGUCUUAGCAUAGUUUCUUGUUUUUUCGAAUGACCCAGUGUUCCCUAACCACCGGGCCGCGGCCCGUUACCGGUGUGUGGGCCAUUUACCGGCCCGCACAGAAAGAACACAUUUUAUAUAUACUUUUAUAUCUCAUUUUAGUGUUUUUUAAAAUGUAUUUGUAAAAUGAAUGAUCUUUCUCAACGCCUGUCCCAGGGGGACAUUUACAAUUGUCCACCGUGGGGUCUUCCAGCAGAAACAAAGGUUCGGCUCUCUUUUCCCUUUGCCCUGGCCGGAGUUGAAAAGUGACAGGAGAGAAAACUUUGAAACUCUUCAUUAGAGAGAAAAUAUGGAAGAAAUCCAUUAAGAAAGGUUUAAGCGUCCCAGGCUUAACUUUACAUCGUGGCUGGAUGUCAUGUGUACAGUAAUUCAAUUAUGUCUAAAUUAUCUUUAAUUUAUAUUGCAGUCAUUAAUCUGAAAUACCUGCCUUAAGAACAUCUGGUCGGGGACAGCAGAUGAAAAUUAGUCUCGCUGGCUCACUCUGGCUCACUUACAGUACAACUGUUAUUGAUUAGUGUGCAUUGUCCCUGCAAAAUAAAUGAAUAAACAAAUACAAUAACACAAACUACAAUAUUAUAAAUUCUACCACCUGGUGGGCUCUUCUGCUUAAAUUCAGCCAUCUGCCACACCUUUAAGACCAGUCUGUGAAAUAUUGUCUAAUACAAAAAUGGUCAGUGAGGCGAAAAAACCUUGGAGACCGGUGGAUUAAAGGGUGAAGAUGAUAAACACGUGUUGUAUUUACAUGGCAUGUAAAACCCUCUGAUCCAUAUUCAUAAUUCGCCUGCAUCAAUAAGUAGCACAUGCACACAAUGUUUUGGCUUUGAUACCAAAUUCAACCCACUUUGAGUACAAUACGACCGCGUGUUGGCCGGGAGCU